rnacentral:rRNA from 1 species
UACGAGAGGUACAAGUGUUGUUCGGAAUUAUUGGGUGUAAAGGGUGCGUAGACGGCUUAAUAAGUUACAGGUAAAAAAUGGGGCUCAACCCCAUUAACCCUGAUAAUACUGUUAGGCUUGAGGAUGGGAGAAGUAAUUGGAAUUUCUAGUGUAAUCGUGAAAAGUGUUGAUAUUAGAAGGAACGCCAAAAGCGAAGGCAAAUUACUAUAACAUACCUGACGUUGAGGCACGAAAGCGUGGGGAGCAAACGGG